rnacentral:rRNA from 1 species
CCUACGGGCGGCUGCAGUGGGGAAUAUUGGACAAUGGGCGAAAGCCUGAUCCAGCCAUACCGCGUGUGUGAAGAAGGCCUUCGGGUUGUAAAGCACUUUCAGUGGGGAAGAAAGCCUUGGGGCUAAUACCCUCGAGGAAGGACAUCACCCACAGAAGAAGCACCGGCUAACUCCGUGCCAGCAGCCGCGGUAAUACGGAGGGUGCGAGCGUUAAUCGGAAUUACUGGGCGUAAAGCGCGCGUAGGCGGUCUGAUAAGCCGGUUGUGAAAGCCCCGGGCUCAACCUGGGAACGGCAUCCGGAACUGUCAGGCUAGAGUGCAGGAGAGGAAGGUAGAAUUCCCGGUGUAGCGGUGAAAUGCGUAGAGAUCGGGAGGAAUACCAGUGGCGAAGGCGGCCUUCUGGACUGACACUGACGCUGAGGUGCGAAAGCGUGGGUAGCAAACAGGAUUAAUACCCCUGUAGUC